GGACCAAAUUCUAUUAUUGAAAGGCUGUUGUUAUCUAUGUCGAUCCUGAUGACCUCAAAAAAGAUAAACUUUACUUCUCAGAUAUUCAUGUUAACUUCAUAUUUCAUUAAUUUUAGACAUUAACAUUGGAUGAUGUAGAGCAAUUAGUGAUGAUGUGUUGAGCAUCAAUUUAUAUACAUGUUACUUUUUAUUUUUUUUUAUUUUUAUUUAUUGC
rnacentral:lncRNA from 1 species